UUGACCUCGGAUCAGGUAGGAAUACCCGCUGAACUUAAGCAUAUCAAUAAGCGGAGGAAAAGAAACCAACAGGGAUUGCCCUAGUAACGGCGAGUGAAGCGGCAACAGCUCAAAUUUGAAAUCUGGCUUCGGCCCGAGUUGUAAUUUGUAGAGGAAACUUUUGGUGAGGCACCUUCUGAGUCCCUUGGAACAGGGCGCCAUAGAGGGUGAGAGCCCCGUAUAGUCGGAUGCCGAUCCAAUGUAAAGUUCCUUCGACGAGUCGAGUAGUUUGGGAAUGCUGCUCAAAAUGGGAGGUAAAUUUCUUCUAAAGCUAAAUAUAGGCCAGAGACCGAUAGCGCACAAGUAGAGUGAUCGAAAGAUGAAAAGCACUUUGAAAAGAGGGUUAAAUAGCACGUGAAAUUGUUGAAAGGGAAGCGUUUGUGACCAGACUUGCGCCGUUCCGAUCAUCCGGUGUUCUCACCGGUGCACUCGGGGCGGCUCAGGCCAGCAUCGGUUUUGGUGGGGGGAUAAAGGUCCAGGGAACGUAGCUCCUCCGGGAGUGUUAUAGCCCUGGGCGUAAUGCCCUCGCUGGGACCGAGGUUCGCGCAUCUGCAAGGAUGCUGGCGUAAUGGUCAUCAACGACCCGUCUU
rnacentral:rRNA from 1 species